rnacentral:rRNA from 1 species
GAUGAACGCUGGCGGCGUGCCUAAUACAUGCAAGUAGAACGCUGAAGGAAGGAGCUUGCUCUUUCCGGAUGAGUUGCGAACGGGUGAGUAACGCGUAGGUAACCUGCCUGGUAGCGGGGGAUAACUAUUGGAAACGAUAGCUAAUACCGCAUAACAGUAGAUGUUGCAUGAUAUCUACUUAAAAGGUGCAAUUGCACCACUACCAGAUGGACCUGCGUUGUAUUAGCUAGUUGGUGAGGUAACGGCUCACCAAGGCGACGAUACAUAGCCGACCUGAGAGGGUGAUCGGCCACACUGGGACUGAGACACGGCCCAAACUCCUACGGGAGGCAGCAGUAGGGAAUCUUCGGCAAUGGACGGAAGUCUGACCGAGCAACGCCGCGGGAGUGAAGAAGGUUUUCGGAUCGUAAAGCUCUGUUGUAAGAGAAGAACGAGUGUGAGAGUGGAAAGUUCACACUGUGACGGUAUCUUACCAGAAAGGGACGGCUAACUACGUG